GAGCCUACGGGAGGCUGCAGUGGGGAAUAUUGGACAAUGGGCGCAAGCCUGAUCCAGCCAUGCCGCGUGAGUGAUGAAGGCCUUAGGGUUGUAAAGCUCUUUCGGCGGGGACGAUAAUGACGGUACCCGCAGAAGAAGCCCCGGCUAACUUCGUGCCAGCAGCCGCGGUAAUACGAAGGGGGCAAGCGUUGCUCGGAAUCACUGGGCGUAAAGGGCGCGUAGGCGGACGUUUAAGUCAGGGGUGAAAGCCCGAGGCUCAACCUCGGAACUGCCUUUGAUACUGGACGUCUCGAGACCGGAAGAGGUAAGUGGAACUGCGAGUGUAGAGGUGAAAUUCGUAGAUAUUCGCAAGAACACCAGUGGCGAAGGCGGCUUACUGGUCCGGUUCUGACGCUGAGGCGCGAAAGCGUGGGGAGCAAACAGGAUUAGAUACCCUUGUAGUCAC
rnacentral:rRNA from 1 species